GACUGUGACUGCUACUCGGGCUGGAACACACACUAUGCCAGUCGCUGUUUCGGUUCACUGCUGUAAUAAUUUUCUCAUAUCUGCCGAUGCCAGAUAAAAUGUAGAUGCAGGAAAAACUAGCAACAGCAAAAACCCUAUGAGCAAUAUAUGACGUCACAUGGAAAAAAAUUUGGCGACAAUGUUUCAAAUCAAAUGAUGACUGCGCCUACACCUGGACCCCAAUGUGUGACUGCUGUCCGUAAUGGCGCACAAAAAAUAAAAGCGGGGCCUGUAACAGCUUUGGCUUAAUGA